rnacentral:rRNA from 1 species
GUGGGGAAUAUUGGACAAUGGGCGAAAGCCUGAUCCAGCCAUGCCGCGUGUGUGAAGAAGGUCUUCGGAUUGUAAAGCACUUUAAGUUGGGAGGAAGGGCAGUAAGUUAAUACCUUGCUGUUUUGACGUUACCGACAGAAUAAGCACCGGCUAACUUCGUGCCAGCAGCCGCGAUAAUACGAAGGGUGCAAGCGUUAAUCGGAAUUACUGGGCGUAAAGCGCGCGUAGGUGGUUUUGUAAGUUGGAGGUGAAAUCCCCGGGCUCAACCUGGGAACUGCCUCCAAAACUACUGAGCUAGAGUACGGUAGAGGGUAGUGGAAUUUCCUGUGUAGCGGUGAAAUGCGUAGAUAUAGGAAGGAACACCAGUGGCGAAGGCGACUACCUGGACUGAUACUGACACUGAGGUGCGAAAGCGUGGGGAGCAAACAGGAUUAGAAACCCGUGUAGUCC